rnacentral:pre_miRNA from 1 species
UAAUUCGUCUGAUAGAACUUUUUUUAUAAUCAAAAAACCACAUGAAAUUGCACAAAAUCGCACUUUUGCGGUGUUUUUCGAUAAUGAAAAAAGUUCUAUCAGACGAAUC